UAGGGAAUCUUGCGCAAUGGGGGAAACCCUGACGCAGCCAUGCCGCGUGAAUGAUGAAGGUCUUAGGAUUGUAAAAUUCUUUCAGCGGGGAAGAUAAUGACUGUACCCGCAGAAGAAGCUCCGGCUAACUUCGUGCCAGCAGCCGCGGUAAUACGAAGGGGGCUAGCGUUGCUCGGAAUUACUGGGCGUAAAGGGCGCGUAGGCGGGUGUUUAAGUCAGAGGUUAAAUCCCAGGGCUCAACCCUGGAACUGCCUUUGAUACUGGGCACCUAGAGUACGGGAGAGGUGUGUGGAACUCCGAGUGUAGAGGUGAAAUUCGUAGAUAUUCGGAAGAACACCAGUGGCGAAGGCGACACACUGGCCCGUUACUGACGCUGAGGCGCGAAAGCGUGGGGAGCAAACAGG
rnacentral:rRNA from 1 species